AUGAUAGUCAAUGUGGACCCUCAACACCCAUGAAUGCAUGGUAUUCUUCGACCGAUCAUUACGCUCGAUGGUCAGGAUGUUAUUGAUUGUGAACCCAUAUUAGGAUAUUUACACAGAGGAAUGGAAAAAAAUCGAGGAAAACCGAACUACUAUACAAUACCUACCUUAUGUAACAAGGAUAUAGAGAGAUUGUAG
rnacentral:rRNA from 1 species